UCCAAGGAUAUCCAUCCCCCAUUGUGCAAACGACCAUGGGGCACUCAAAGGUGUAAGUUUGGAGGCAGGUUGUCUUUGGAUAUUCGCAUAUCUCUGACACCGAUCACACUUUCUGACAUAUUCAAUGGAGUUGUGGUAUAUUGUAGGCCAGUAAUAACCUUGUCGGAGUAGUUUGUGGGAUAAAAAUCUGGCCCCCAGGUGACUUUCGCAGACUCCUUCAUGUACCUUCCACAAAGCAAAGUCAGCUUCAGAAAGCCAGAGACAUUUCAGGAGGGGCAAAGAGUACAACCUCUUGUACAGCUUGCCCUCAUAAAGGAU
rnacentral:lncRNA from 1 species